rnacentral:lncRNA from 1 species
CUUCUACCAAAAAUGUCAUCAUGUAAAACCAUAUAAAGUCACCCCAGAAACCCUAAGCUGCUCUUUCCUCAGAGGGGAUGGAACAGUUUGGAGCAGGUGGACUGAGGACAGAUGGCAGCGACUGAGCAACUGAUGUGGGGUGGAGGGGCUGGCUGCACCCUUCCUGGGAGGUGCCCUUUCUGUGCCUUCUUUCUGUCCCCCACUCUAGAUGUCUGGGUGCAGAGUCCCCAAUGAGAAGCUUAGGUGGCAGCAUAUCCACAGGGCCGAUGGCUUUGCAUCCAUUUCAGUAGAAAAUACCCUGUUCUUCAUGGUGUGCAUGUAAUGAGAGAGAGGGAAAGAAGGGAAGGGAGGGAGGAAGACAGAAGAUGUCCAAGGGUCUCUGUCAAUCCCCUCAAGUGACAUCACAAGCAUGGCCCCACCUGCGACAAAUCCCCACUGGUCCUGGCUUGCCUCUCCGAGACCUGCUGUUCACUUUCCCAGGACAGUGAAGGAAUUUAGGGGCAGAAAUGGGAAUUGUAGUUGCGGGCAGCAGGAGGAUUAGGAAAGAUAAAAAGAAUACCCAAUUGUAUCUACUUUUAAAAGACUAAAAGAUACCCACAAGACUACCUCCGUUGGUACCCGAUCUGGCUACUGGCCAUCCGGCCCCGCACAUCUGCAUGGAGAAGACGUCAGGGAUCUUGGCCUGGGUCACCAGGGAAUCAAAGAAUGUCUCCAGGGAGCUUGAUGGCUGCAGGAGGGGAAAAGACAGACAGAGGUUCUGGACUCAGCGUGAAGACCAGGGUGUCGAGGAGAUUCAGUCCAUGGUCAGCUGCUCCAAUGCAGACUCAUCAUGGUGGAAGUGUGUGGUGCAGCAACACUGCUCAGUUCAUGGCAGCUGGGCAGAAGAGCAGAGAAACAGUGCCAAAGAGGAAAGGGUGGGAGACCAUACACAGACCCCAAGACCGUGCCUCCAUGGCCGCCCAGACAUACUUAGAAGUGUGCCCUGCCAACCCUCAAGUGGAUCUCCAAGCCAAUCAAGUUGACACUGCCCCUCACCACCAUGGUGGCCAAGCCAGGUUGCUCACGUAUUGA